rnacentral:lncRNA from 1 species
GACAGUGUGACAAAAUUCUUUAUAUGGAAAAGCACAGUGUGGCAAUUUCGUAAGUUCAAAGAAUUUUUAUUUUUUCUUAAAAGUUAUUAUAAAGAGAUUCAAAGAAAAUUUAAUUCCAAAGGGAAGUGAUUAAAUAAGAGUCGCAGGCUAUGCGGGUAUAAGAAGAAAGAUAUGAGGUCCCAUUCUUUUCAAUUUUAAGCCUUUCUUUAGAUUCAUCUCUCUCUCUCUCUCUCUCUACAAGUAAAAAUCCUUUCUCUCAUUCUCUUUUUUUUUCUCCAGAGAAUUCUUUCCUCUUCAUUCUUCAUAGGUAAUUCAAGUUUUUUUCCUUAUGUUUUCCUUUUAGGCUUUGCUUAUUUCUCUUUGAAAAAUAUCUUUGCCAGAUUUGCAUGGUUCCAGUUUCAGUUUGUAUGUAAAGAAUGAAAUAAUAUCCUUUGGCUUUUGUUUUUAGUUAUAAUUGGGUUCUAAAUCUCUAAUCUGUUCUUUUCUUUAUAUGAAUGCAACUCAUUUCUGUAAAUACCCUUCAAGAUUUUUCUUUCUUGAUGUUAUUUAUGUUUGCCUUCCAUUCCAGUUAUUCGUUGUUGCUGACAUGUUUUGUGUAAAUAUAAUUGCUACACAUAUGUUUCUUUCUUUUGGGUAACUGGUAGUGGAGUUUUACUCUUUUCCUUUUGGUUAUUCUUUUCUGCUAUUAUGGAUAUUCAAGAACAAUUUUCUAUUCUCUGCUUGUGCAGCUCAGAGAAAAAAUUUCAAUCAUGGAUUGAAAUUUUCUUUCCUAAUAACAAAUAAGGGCGUACUAUCAACAAAAUAUCAUGUGCUGCUUGAUCUUUUUUGGUAUUCUAAUUUGCAUGUAAAAUUUCCUUGUCUGUAUAAAAUUGUCUAGUUUUCACAGCAUAAUCUUGCUGAUUUCUCGUCGUAUGCUGUUUCUCCUUGGUUAUUAUAUUUUCUGAAUAGUCCAGUGUUAAGAAAACUAACUUUGAAAUUCCAAAUUGCGGUAAAUUUGGUUGCCUUUGUGGAAGAGUGCUGUUUGUAUCUUAGCCCUGUUGCCUUAUUUAUUUUGAUAUGAUUUUUCUGCUUUCCUUUCCUUUUAAUUCCUGUAAUCAAUGAGAAUGAGUUGUAUGGAUGUGGAGUUUCGCUUCUCCAAAAAUGUUUUUAUCUGGGAUUUUGGACUUCCUAUAAUCUUAACCUUUUCCUCUUUCUUUCAGGUGAAAAUCAUUUGCUGAUCUUCUUUGUCUAAUCACCUAUCUACUGAAGUUUCAAAGUUACAAUCUUUUCCAUCUUCAUAAAUAUUCUCUAGUGAAAGACAAAACANNNN